rnacentral:lncRNA from 1 species
UCAAGUAGUUCUGCAUAGAAAUAGAUAUAGAUAUAAGGUUGGUCUUGCAUGCACCCGGUCGCAUAGUAUGUGAUCGGUUACUUUUAAUAAGCAUAAGAUAUACAUUUGUUCGCACAAAUAUUGUAUACUUAUGUAAUUGUACAAGUUUUCAUUUAUAAAAGUAACACUUAUCGUGAAUAAAUAUAAUACUUUAUAAAUAUUAUAUUUCAUUGUAACAAUAAUUACUUUUUGUAUCCUGACCUUUUCGGCUCUUUUAUUCAAACACACGCCCACACUCAGCCCCAUACCUGAAAAUUGAUAAAUAAAUCUACGGUAUCAAUAUUCAUUUAGGAUGGUGAUAAAUUUAUUAUGAGAAAAAGAGGAAUAACAAAAAAAUCCACCUUAAAUUCCCUCUUUUUUCCCUUGUAUUUUAUAUACAAGAGAAUUUCAUUCUUUCUCAUUUUCAUUUCAAAGAAGAAUAAUAUUAUCGCUUCUUGGAGUGAAGAUAAAGAAUGAGAAAUGAUGAAAUUCUCUUUCUUAGAAAAUGAGGAAAAAGAGAGAAGGUAUUUAAAGGGAAAAUUUUUUGAUAUACCUCAUUUUUCCAUGAUAAAUUUAUCAACCAAACAAAACACAACCUCAGAGAAUAUAUGUUAAAGACGAGGACGUGAAUUGAUCAGCAGUUGCAGGACUAACCUUCGAAACUUGACAGUAAUGGGUUUCCCGCCAAAAGAAGAAGAGACAGUAACAUCAAGGUAAGUACCCCGGCAUGGUUGUAAUUGCUCGGCACAAGUCAAAGCUACAGGAUUGCAGUCGACUAAUUCAAUCGAGCCACUCCUAUAAUGAGACGGCCAGUGGAUCUCUUCAAGUUCGUAGCAGUGUUUCAUGCUCAGGCAGGCAAGAUGAGGGAAGCUCUCAUAUCUUGGUUUCCAUUGCACCAAAUCAGUGUCUUCAAUCAGAAGAAACUUAAGUUUCAAAAA